rnacentral:rRNA from 1 species
AGAGUUUGAUCCUGGCUCAGAACGAACGUUGGCGGCAUGGAUUAGGCAUGCAAGUCGAAUGAAUCCCUCGUAGCAAUAUGAGGGGGAAAUGGCGAAAGGGGCAGUAAUGCGUGGGUAACCUACCCUGGGGUUGGGCAUAGCCAUUCUAACGGAUGGGUAAUUCCCAGCGGUCCAGCGAGAUGGCAUCAUUUUGCUGGUAUAGAACUUCGCCCCGGGAGGGGCCCACGUGAUAUUAGGUUGUUGGCGGGGUAACGGCCCACCAAGCCGAAGAUGUCUAGCGGGUGUGAGAGCACGACCCGCGCCACUGGCACUGUGACACUGGCCAGACACCUACGGGUGGCUGCAGUCGAGGAUCUUCGUCAAUGGGCGAAAGCCUGAACGAGCGAUGCCGCGUGCGCGAUGAAGGCCCUCGGGUUGUAAAGCGCGAAAGUGGGGAUAAAGGGAAACUUGAUGGAACCACAGUAAGCUCGGGCUAAGUUCGUGCCAGCAGCCGCGGUAAGACGAACCGAGCGAACGUUGUUCGGAAUCACUGGGCAUAAAGGGCGCGUAGGCGGGGAUCUAAGUCCGUGGUGAAAUACCUUGGCUCAACCAAGGAACUGCCUCGGAUACUGGGUCUCUCGAGGGAGGUAGGGGCUUGCGGAACGGCUGGUGGAGCGGUGAAAUGCGUUGAUAUCAGUCGGAACUCCGGUGGCGAAGGCGGCAAGCUGGACCUCUUCUGACGCUGAGGCGCGAAAGCCAGGGGAGCAAACGGGAU